GGUUCCCUGCGAUGUUCGUGAUGGGCAUUAAGUCUUGAGCCAACACCCAUCGUUAGGGAGCUGAGUUCAACUGCAGAAUUUUCUGUAGUUGACAGGCGCCCACCUUUACUUUGGGUUCAGAGACUUUUUCCCACACGGCAUAGGCGGGGAACUU
rnacentral:other from 1 species